GGGGGUAUAGCUCAGUGGUGCAGCAUUCGACUGCUAAUCUCGAGAGGUCUCCUGUUCAAACCAAGGUUCCCCCU
rnacentral:tRNA from 1 species